ACGCUGGCGGCAGGCUUAACACAUGCAAGUCGAACGGUAACAGGGAUUAGCUUGCUAAUCUGCUGACGAGUGGCGGACGGGUGAGUAAUGCUUGGGAAUCUGGCUUAUGGAGGGGGAUAACUACGGGAAACUGUAGCUAAUACCGCGUAAAAUCUUCGGAUUAAAGGGUGGGACUUUCGAGCCACCUGCCAUAAGAUGAGCCCAAGUGGGAUUAGGUAGUUGGUUAGGUAAAGGCUGACCAAGCCGACGAUCUCUAGCUGGUCUGAGAGGAUGACCAGCCACACUGGAACUGAGACACGGUCCAGACUCCUACGGGAGGCAGCAGUGGGGAAUAUUGCACAAUGGGGGGAACCCUGAUGCAGCCAUGCCGCGUGAAUGAAGAAGGCCUUCGGGUUGUAAAGUUCUUUCGGUGACGAGGAAGGUUGGUAGGUUAAUAGCCUAUCAAAUUGACGUUAAUCACAGAAGAAGCACCGGCUAACUCCGUGCCAGCAGCCGCGGUAAUACGGGGGGUGCGAGCGUUAAUCGGAAUAACUGGGCGUAAAGGGCACGCAGGCGGUGACUUAAGUGAGAUGUGAAAGCCCCGAGCUUAACCUGGGAAUUGCAUUUCAUACUGGGUCGCUAGAGUACUUUAGGGAGGGGUAGAAUUCCACGUGUAGCGGUGAAAUGCGUAGAGAUGUGGAGGAAUACCGAAGGCGAAGGCAGCCCCUUGGGAAUGUACUGACGCUCAUGUGCGAAAGCGUGGGGAGCAAACAGGAUUAGAUACCCUGGUAGUCCACGCUGUAAACGAUGUCGAUUUGGGGAUUGGGCUUUGAGCUUGGUGCCCGUAGCUAACGUGAUAAAUCGACCGCCUGGGGAGUACGGCCGCAAGGUUAAAACUCAAAUGAAUUGACGGGGGCCCGCACAAGCGG
rnacentral:rRNA from 1 species